rnacentral:rRNA from 1 species
AUUGAACGCUGGCGGCAUGCUUUACACAUGCAAGUCGAACGGUAACAGGCCGCAAGGUGCUGACGAGUGGCGAACGGGUGAGUAAUGCAUCGGAACGUGCCCAGUCGUGGGGGAUAACGCAGCGAAAGCUGUGCUAAUACCGCAUACGAUCUAUGGAUGAAAGCGGGGGACCGUAAGGCCUCGCGCGAUUGGAGCGGCCGAUGUCAGAUUAGGUAGUUGGUGGGGUAAAGGCUCACCAAGCCAACGAUCUGUAGCUGGUCUGAGAGGACGACCAGCCACACUGGGACUGAGACACGGCCCAGACUCCUACGGGAGGCAGCAGUGGGGAAUUUUGGACAAUGGGCGCAAGCCUGAUCCAGCAAUGCCGCGUGCAGGAAGAAGGCCUUCGGGUUGUAAACUGCUUUUGUACGGAACGAAAAGGUUUGGGUUAAUACCCUGGGCCGAUGACGGUACCGUAAGAAUAAGCACCGGCUAACUACGUGCCAGCCGCCGCCGUAAGAC